rnacentral:rRNA from 1 species
AGUCGAACGAACUCUUCGGAGUUAGUGGCGCACGGGUGCGGAACACGUGGGAAUGUACCCCUAGGUAAGGAAUAACUGCUGGAAACGGUAGCUAAUACCUUAUAAUAUCUUCGGAUCAAAGAUUUAUCGCCUAGGGAUCAGCCCGCGUCUGAUUAGUUUGUUGGUGAGGUAAUGGCUCACCAAGACUACGAUCAGUAGGGGGUCUGAGAGGAUGAUCCCCCACACUGGGACUGAGACACGGCCCAGACUCC